AACACAUGCAAGUCGAACGAGAAAGUGGAGCAAUCCAUGAGUACAGUGGCGUACGGGUGAGUAACACGUGGGUAAUCUACCUCUUAGUGGGGAAUAACCUUGGGAAACCGAAGCUAAUACCGCAUAAGCUCGAGAGAGGAAAGCAGCAAUGCGCUGAGAGAGGAGCCCGCGGCCGAUUAGCUAGUUGGCAGGGUAAAAGCCUACCAAGGCAGAGAUCGGUAGCCGGCCUGAGAGGGCACACGGCCACACUGGCACUGAAACACGGGCCAGACUCCUACGGGAGGCAGCAGUGGGGAAUCUUGCACAAUGGGGGCAACCCUGAUGCAGCGACGCCGCGUGAGCGAUGAAGCCCUUCGGGGUGUAAAGCUCUUUCGUCAGGGAAGAUAGUGACGGUACCUGGAGAAGCAGCUGCGGCUAACUACGU
rnacentral:rRNA from 1 species